CAACUGGAUUUUCUCGAUUUCAGGAAGCAGGAUUCACUAUGAAACUUAUUACCUUCGUCAUUGUGCUGUUGUUGGCAACAGUGAUUGAAAACGAGGCUAGAUUCAAGGGCAUGGCAUGCCAUUCUUGUGACUUUAUUAUGCGUUUCUGCCGUUUCCGGUGUCGUCAUCAGCCGAGUUCGGCCCAGAAUUUCAUCUGCAAUGACUUAUGUAGGUGGAGGAACGAGCGGUGUUACCUAGAGUGUGUGGAAGAUCGCGAGGGUUACGACUGAUAUACUACCGACAGAAAUCAGGCACCCAGAAAGUGAACACCUCGACUUUUAUGUCUGUUCUAUAGGAUCAAUAAAUAUUUCACAGCUUUU